CCUACGGGUGGCUGCAGUGGGGAAUAUUGGACAAUGGGGGGAACCCUGAUCCAGCCAUGCCGCGUGUGUGAAGAAGGCCCUCGGGUUGUAAAGCACUUUCAGUGAGGAAGAACGCCUGGUGGUUAAUACCCAUCAGGAAAGACAUCACUCACAGAAGAAGCACCGGCUAACUCCGUGCCAGCAGCCGCGGUAAUACGGAGGGUGCGAGCGUUAAUCGGAAUUACUGGGCGUAAAGCGCGCGUAGGUGGCUUGAUAAGCCGGUUGUGAAAGCCCCGGGCUCAACCUGGGAACGGCAUCCGGAACUGUCAAGCUAGUGUGCAGGAGAGGAAGGUAGAAUUCCCGGUGUAGCGGUGAAAUGCGUAGAGAUCGGGAGGAAUACCAGUGGCGAAGGCGGCCUUCUGGACUGACACUGACACUGAGGUGCGAAAGCGUGGGUAGCAAACAGGAUUAGAUACCCUUGUAGUC
rnacentral:rRNA from 1 species